rnacentral:rRNA from 1 species
UGUUCGGAUCGUGACGACGUGGGCAGUUUGCUGCCUGCGACGUUGCGAGAAGUCCACUGAACCUUAUCAUUUAGAGGAAGGAGAAUUCGUAACAAGGUUUCCGUAGGUGAACCUGCGGAAGGAUCAUU